GAUGAACGCUAGCGGCAGGCCUAAUACAUGCAAGUCGUACGGCAACACAGUUGCGAGCAAUCGCAACCGGUGGCGAGUGGCGCACGGGUGAGUAACACGUAUGUAACCUACCCUUCUCCGGGACAUAACUCCGCGAAAGCGGUGCUAAUAUCCCAUACCAACUCAUCAAGACAUCUUCUUGAGUUGAAAGCAGCAAUGCGGUGAAGGAUGGGCAUGCGUCCCAUUAGCUGGUUGGUGAGGUAAUGGCCCACCAAGGCUACGAUGGGUAGGGGUUCUGAGAGGAAAGCCCCCCACACUGGUACUGAGACACGGACCAGACUCCUACGGGAGGCAGCAGUAAGGAAUAUUGGGCAAUGGUCGAAAGACUGACCCAGCCAUGCCGCGUGCAGGAUGAAGGCCCUAUGGGUUGUAAACUGCUUUUAGCCGGGAAUAAACACCCGUUUUAUAACGGGCCCGAAGGUACCGGCUGAAUAAGCAUCGGCUAACUCCGUG
rnacentral:rRNA from 1 species